rnacentral:lncRNA from 1 species
GGGAAUUGCGAUGAGGAUACAAAGCUCCCUCUUCUGAAUUAGACUGAGGAAACUCUGCUGGCAGAAUCGAACCAACUUUAAAAUCAUGCCAUCUGAGCAAUUUCUUCCCCACAUCCAUCAAUAGUUUUUAUUAUUAAUGUUUUGUUACUCCGAUAGAUUGCAGUGAUGACCUCAGAAAAAUUCAAGCUCAACAGACCGGAAUGCAGGAUUCUUAACUGAGUUUUGCGUGUCGAUAACCCGCUCACUGAGCAGUC